rnacentral:rRNA from 1 species
ACUCCUACGGGAGGCAGCAGUGGGGAAUAUUGCACAAUGGGGGAAACCCUGAUGCAGCAACGCCGCGUGAGUGAUGACGGUCUUCGGAUUGUAAAGCUCUGUCUUCAGGGACGAUAAUGACGGUACCUGAGGAGGAAGCCACGGCUAACUACGUGCCAGCAGCCGCGGUAAUACGUAGGUGGCAAGCGUUGUCCGGAUUUACUGGGCGUAAAGGGAGCGUAGGUGGAUAUUUAAGUGGGAUGUGAAAUACUCGGGCUUAACCUGAGUGCUGCAUUCCAAACUGGAUAUCUAGAGUGCAGGAGAGGAAAGUAGAAUUCCUAGUGUAGCGGUGAAAUGCGUAGAGAUUAGGAAGAAUACCAGUGGCGAAGGCGACUUUCUGGACUGUAACUGACACUGAGGCUCGAAAGCGUGGGGAGCAAACAGGAUUAGAUACCCUGGUAGUC